rnacentral:rRNA from 1 species
UACGUAGGGUGCAAGCGUUAAUCGGAAUUACUGGGCGUAAAGCGUGCGCAGGCGGCUUUGCAAGACAGAUGUGAAAUCCCCGGGCUUAACCUGGGAACUGCAUUUGUGACUGCAUGGCUAGAGUGCGGCAGAGGGGGAUGGAAUUCCGCGUGUAGCAGUGAAAUGCGUAGAUAUGGGGAGGAACACCGGUGGCGAAGGCGGCCAUCUGGAUGGAUACUGACGCUGAGACGCGAAAGCGUGGGUAGCAAACAGG